rnacentral:rRNA from 1 species
UACGUAGGGCGCAAGCGUUUGUCCGGAAUUAUUGGGCGUAAAGAGCUCGUAGGCGGUUUGUCGCGUCUGCUGUGAAAACCUAAGGCUCAACCUUGGGCUUGCAGUGGGUACGGGCAGACUAGAGUGCGGUAGGGGUGACUGGAAUUCCUGGUGUAGCGGUGAAAUGCGCAGAUAUCAGGAGGAACACCGAUGGCGAAGGCAGGUCUCUGGGCAUUAACUGACGCUGAGGAGCGAAAAGCAUGGGGAGCGAACAGG